rnacentral:rRNA from 1 species
AUUGAACGCUGGCGGCAGGCCUAACACAUGCAAGUCGAGCGGAUGAAGGGAGCUUGCUCCUGGAUUCAGCGGCGGACGGGUGAGUAAUGCCUAGGAAUCUGCCUGGUAGUGGGGGAUAACGUCCGGAAACGGGCGCUAAUACCGCAUACGUCCUGAGGGAGAAAGUGGGGGAUCUUCGGACCUCACGCUAUCAGAUGAGCCUAGGUCGGAUUAGCUAGUUGGUGGGGUAAAGGCCUACCAAGGCGACGAUCCGUAACUGGUCUGAGAGGAUGAUCAGUCACACGGGAACUGAGACACGGUCCAGACUCCUACGGGAGGCAGCAGUGGGGAAUAUUGGACGAUGGGCGAAAGCCUGAUCCAGCCAUGCCGCGUGUGUGAAGAAGGUCUUCGGAUUGUAAAGCACUUUAAGUUGGGAGGAAGGGCAGUAAGUUAAUACCGUGCUGUUUUGACGUUACCAACAGAAUAAGCACCGGCUAACUUCGUG